AUUGAACGCUGGCGGCAUGCCUUACACAUGCAAGUCGAACGGUAACAGGCCGCAUGGUGCUGACGAGUGGUGAACGGGGGAGUAAUGCAUCGGAACGUGCGCAGUCGUGGGGGGUAACUAGUCCAAAGAGUAGCUAUUACCGCAUACGAUCUAUGGAUGAGAGCGGGGGACCGUAAGGCCUCGCGCGCUUGGAGCGGCCGAUGUCAGAUUAGGUAGUGGGGGGGGUAAAGGCUCACCAAGCCAACGAUCUGUAUCUGUUCUGAGAGGACGAACAGCCACACUGGAACUGAGACACGGCCCAGACUCCUACGGGAAGAAGCAGUGGGGAAUAUUGGACAAUGGGCGAAAGCCUGAUCCAGCAAUGCCGCGUGCAGGAAGAAGGCCUUCGGAUUGUAAAAUGCUUUAGGUCGGAAGGAAGCGGAUUUAGUUAAUACCCGACGAUAAUGACGGUACCGGAAGAAUAAGCACCGGCUAACUACGUG
rnacentral:rRNA from 1 species